GUCUUCUUGGUCUAGUCGGUUAUGACGUCGGUCUCAUAAUUGAAUAUGAUUCGCAUGUCAAACAUGCGGGCUAUCCGAAGGUCGUGAGUUCGAUUCUCACAGAGGACA